GCACAGGCAUAUAUACAGAAACGUGAUGAUAAAUUAACUAUACUCAGUUUUGCAGGAGGAAAGGCUUCUCUUACCAAUGUUUAGUGUGGCUCAGGCAAGGGAUGCUAUGGACUAGUUUCUGCUGGGUGGAUAUUAUCAUGUGUCAUACAGUCUGUAGUUUUUUCCUUCUGUUUGUAGCACUUCUGCUUUACUCACAUAGUUGUUUAUAAACUGUAAGUUAAACAUAUCCAGAUUUCUGAACAGAUGUUGUAGUUCAGCAACACCAGAGAGGAGCUGUGCUCAGGCCUUCUGAAUUUUACUGCAACCACUAGAGAGAUGUGUGACUGAUGGGAGGUCCCAGGGGCCUUUCUUUCAAGUGGACACCCACCUACAGAUUUGCACUUAAAGCAGCAGAACCUGCUAUAUUUUAUAGUUCUGGGCUCUCCUGUGGCCGCCAUCAGAUUAGCGGAGGUUCCCUUCAGCUGUUGACCCUCCUCCUUUGCAAGUCAGAAGCCCUAUGCCACAGGCAGCACAUAGGUGGUGGGAACCGCAGUGGUGGCUGCAGAUAUCUCUGCCCCUUCCUUCAGGGAGACAUCAGGGCUUCCACACACCUGCCUGCUGAACCACUGCUGCUUCUGGCAAAGUAUGACAAGUAACUGCUGAAAAUGUUUAAGGGAUCCUGACUGAAAUUCUGAGUCAAGACUUUGAGAAUCAGUCAAGGUGCCUCACAGUUUUAACUUAGUGCUGCCAGACUGGGAAGAUUAGAGAAACUGUUGAUACAACUGUUUGAUGCAGCAUCACUGUAAGUCCAAGAACUCGAAUUUAACUCACUAUUUAGGCUGUUCAGUACAUUGAUAAAAAGAACUAAAAUGCCAUGCUGUUCUGUUUGACCACAGCCUAGAGAAGCAGAUUCAGGCUAAUACUCACUUUGCAAUUCUUAGAAAUCUGCUUAAUCACAGAGUCACCACGCUCC